rfam:Candidatus Roizmanbacteria bacterium RIFCSPLOWO2_01_FTLL_37_12 rifcsplowo2_01_scaffold_4241, whole genome shotgun sequence.
UUUUUUAAGAGUUUGAUCCUGGCUCAGGAUGAACGUUGGUGGCGUGCCUGAGAUAUGCAAGUCGAGCGCACAUAGUGCGCAACAUUCAACCUCCAACAUCAAUUUGUUGAAUUAUGGUAGUUGGAAAUUGGAUGUUGUGCAUUGUGUCAGCGGCGGACGGCUGAGUAACACGUAGGAACUUACCCCAAAAUAAGGAAUAGCCCCGCGAAAGCGGGGAUAAUACCUUAUAGUGAGAGGUACCAUACGGUACCUCCCUAAAGGCCUUAACUGGUCGUUUUGGGACAGUCCUGCGGCCUAUCAGGUAGUUGGUAGGGUAAUGGCCUACCAAGCCUAUGACAGGUAGCUGGCCCGAGAGGGUGUUCAGCCAGAGGGGUACUGAGAUACGGACCCCAUUUCUACGGAAAGCAGCAAUCAGGAAUAGUCGGCAAUGGGCGAAAGCCUGACCGCGCAACGCCGCGUGCGGGAAGAAGCUCUUAGGAGUGUAAACCGCUGUCGUAGGGGAAGAAGACUUCCGAUUCGGAGGUUUGACUGUACCCUACAAGAAAGGGGCCGCUAACUGCGUGCCAGAAGCGUCGGUAAUACGUGGGCCCCGAACGUUAUCCGGUUUUAUUGGGCGUAAAGGGUCGUGUAGGCUUCCCGAAAAGUUUUCGUUUAAAUACUAAGGCUUAACCUUAGGAAAGGCGAGAAAACUAUCGGGAUUGAGUUUUCUUUAGGGAGACUGGAACUUAGGGAGGAGUAGUGAAAUGCGUUGAUACCCUAGGGAACACCGGUGGCGAAGGCGAGUCUCUAAAAGAUAACUAACGCUGAGACACGAAAGCUAGGGUAGCGAAGCAGAUUAGAGACCUGCGUAGUCCUAGCCCUAAACGAAUGCCUGCUAGCUGCAUCCCCCGCCUUUGGCGGGGAGUGUGGCGAAGGUAACCCGUUAAGCAGGCCGCCUGGGGAGUACGGCCGCAAGGUUGAAACUCAAAGGAAUUGGCGGGGAGGCACACAACCAGUGGAACA